ensembl:miRNA mir126a microRNA 126a
GAGCCAUUUUAACUGCUUCACAGUCCAUUAUUACUUUUGGUACGCGCUAGGCCAGACUCAAACUCGUACCGUGAGUAAUAAUGCACUGUGGCAGUGGGUUU